GGAAAAGUAUGUUGUAUCGGUCACAAAAGGAUUGUGAUCUUAAGCAGGCGAGACAAGGACAUUUGGGAGGUGAUAGGAGAUUGAAUCAGAAAAGUUUUGAAAGCAAAGGUAGAGAAUUUGAUCAAAGGAUCUAACUUUUGUAGAGGUGGUAACUUCAGCACUGUUUUAAUUGUGGAUAGCAGGGAUUCGCCCCAAGGUGCUCGUGGU